AUAGGGGUUUACUCCGCUGAGGAGUAAUGUUUUGUCUGUAUCCUACCCUUCGACCUGUCUGGCCUGGUAAGACCUGCCUGAAGAUGUCUCUCCCUCCAGCAUAGCUCUCUGGGUCAUUGGAGCACACAGGCACUUCACCACAACAAGGUACUUGUUGAAUUGGCUGUUGACUACACAGUAAUUCUUCCGCCCUUUGACGGGUCUU